rnacentral:lncRNA from 1 species
CCCAUCAAAGAAACAGUCGCUUUUUUGCUAUCACAGCUGUAAUGCAAUUUCAUGUGCUGUCCUUAAGAUUGGUACACACACUGUGAUUUCUCAUAUACAGCUGUCAGCAAUAACCUUUUGUGGCAGCAGAGAGAAAAAUUCCCUGAAAUACAUAUUUCACUAACAUACACUUGUAGACCUUAAAUCCUGUCUAAGCACAUACAGCUGUGUUUCUCUGAUCUCUGGUGUAGUGGAGAUUUGUGCUUUUUGCUUUCAGGUAGACCAGAAGCAGUCAGUGCACUCUGAGAGAAGGAGCUCUGAGGGACUUUGCAGCUCAGCUUCCAUUCUGCUCACCUGGUGCACCCUCUGCUCUCCUACGUAUGCAGAGAAACAUAUUUUGAAUUCUGAUUGUUGAAAGAAAGAAAACUUUCUGAAAUUUAGUUCACAGAGCUUGCUGGAAUAACGUCCAACACAGCUGAAGGAAGACAGAGAAGGAUAGCCAGGGAGACGUCCCCAAGAGCUUGCCAUUCCCAGGAAGAAAAUGACAUCUCAGUACCUGGGCAUCCCUGACCACAGCACACUCAUCUCUAGUUGAAGUGCAGCUCCACACAGUUGGGUUGGAUGCUCCAAGGAAUACCUCAAGUUCUCCCGUGCCUUCAGGAUAUGGCUGACAGCACUGCACAAAUGUGACUGAGAUCCUGAUAAGCGAGAGAAAUGAUAUGGAUGCAUAAGUUUACCAAAACCAGAAAUAACAGAAUUUUGCUGGAAUGACAGAUGGAACAAAACUUUCGUGAAUAUGGAUGGAGGAUGUUUGGGCACCUAUUACAGUAUGUUAAAUGCCCAGAUGGUGCUGGUGGAUUACUGCUGCCCAUCCAUUCUCCAGGCACUGCACACCUGGGGCCAUUGGGAACAACAAGGCUGUGAGACCACCAGGUCCUUCUGCUGCAUCGUUGCACCUCUCCUGCUCACACUGCACCUGGUUUCCUUAAGCUCACUGAAGAAAAGCCACCGACUGCUCCUGGUGAGAUGCCAGCUUUGUGUGGCUGCUGGUACGCCUUCUGCCAGGGGUGCAUCACACCUUCCUGUUGUCUUAUCCUUCUGGCACCUGGACUUUGGUUUCAGGGCUGGGCUGAAGCCUGGGAGCUGCUGCACCCAUCUGCUGCCACAUGCGGUAGGAAGCAUCGCCUCCUGAGAUCCACUUUGGGGAAUUCACCACUGAAAAUGAGAAGUUUCUGGUAGGGAUACACUGCGGGUGCAUCAGCAGUUGGAUGUUAGGAAGUCAGGUUGGAUAUUAGGAGAAAUUUCUUCUCCAAAGAGAGGUGAUGCACGGGCUGCCUUGGGAGCGGUGGGUCACUGUCCCUGCAGGUGUUCAAAACCAUGGGGAUGUGGCUCUUGGGGACAUGGUCGGUGUGCAUGGUGGGGGUGGGUUGGGUUUGGGCUGGGGGAUCUCACAAGGCUUUUCCAACCUCUGUGAUUUUGUGAUUCUCUGAUUCUAUAGCGGUCUCUGCUCGAAGCAUUUCCCCACUUUGGGUGUUUGUGUGCUCCUGGUUGCACGAACCACAGCUGAUGGCAAUCAGGUGAAAUUCAUAGAAUCAUAGAAUCAUUUGAGUUGGAAGGGACCGUUGAAGGUCAUCUAAUAUUGCCAUCAAAGCAUCUAUAGACCUGGGAAAUGAAGUCGGUCCAGGCUAUGGCAACACAUCCACUCAAGGGACAGCUCCACAGAUUCCUCAGUGAGGUGUAGGAUGAAAAGACAGCGGUCUCUGCAAUUGUGAGCAGCGUGAAGAAGCCACCCAGAGGUGAUGCACUGAUUAUCUCUGCUUCCCCAAACACCAGGAGGUGGCCCUCUGUGAAACGUUUCCCUUAUCUGCCGCACAACGCCGCGGCUGUCGAAGGCUUCCAUGAAUUUCAAACAAACAAACUGGACGGAGCUGCGGGAAGAAAAUAAAACAAACAAAACACCCUAACA